UAUGAAGAAAAGAGGUUUAAUUGACUCACAGUUCUAUAGGCUGUACAAGAGGAAGCAUGGCUGGGAGGUUUCAGGAAAUAUACAAUCAUGGUGGAAGGGCAAACGGGAAGCAAGCAUAUCUUCAUAUGGCAGCAGGAGAGAGAGAAAAAGAGUAAAGGGGAAAGUGCUACACACUUUUAAACAACCAGAUCUCGUGAGAACUAUC
rnacentral:lncRNA from 1 species